rnacentral:rRNA from 1 species
GAUGAACGCUAGCGAUAGGCUUAACACAUGCAAGUCGAGGGGCAGCAUGGUCUUAGCUUGCUAAGGCUGAUGGCGACCGGCGCACGGGUGCGUAACGCGUAUGCAACUUGCCUCACAGAGGGGGAUAACCCGUCGAAAGACGGACUAAUACCGCGUACACUCUAUGUUGGGCAUCCAAUGUAGAGGAAAUGAAAUUCGCUGUGAGAUAGGCAUGCGUCCCAUUAGCUAGUUGGUGAGGUAACGGCUCACCAAGGCGACGAUGGGUAGGGGAACUGAGAGGGGGAACCCCCACACUGGUACUGGGACACGGACCAGACUCCUACGGGAGGCAGCAGUGAGGAAUAUUGGUCAAUGGGCGAGAGCCUGAACCAGCCAAGUCGCGUGAAGGAUGACUGUCUUAUGGAUUGUAAACUUCUUUUAUACGGGAAUAACAAGAGUCACGUGUGGCUCCCUGCAUGUACCGUAUGAAUAAGCAUCGGCUAACUCCGUG